GAUGAACGCUGGCGGCGUGCCUAAUACAUGCAAGUCGAGCGAACAGACGAGGAGCUUGCUCCUCUGACGUUAGCGGCGGACGGGUGAGUAACACGUGGAUAACCUACCUAUAAGACUGGGAUAACUUCGGGAAACCGGAGCUAAUACCGGAUAAUAUAUUGAACCGCAUGGUUCAAUAGUGAAAGACGGUUUUGCUGUCACUUAUAGAUGGAUCCGCGCCGCAUUAGCUAGUUGGUAAGGUAACGGCUUACCAAGGCAACGAUGCGUAGCCGACCUGAGAGGGGGAUCGGCGACAGGGGAAGUGAAACGGGGGUCAGACACCGACGGGAGGGCGCAGUAGGGGAUGUGAGGCAGUGGGCGCGAGCCUGACAGAGGGACGCCGAGCGAGUGAAAAAAGUCUUGGGAUCGUAAAACUCGUUUAUGAGGGGAAAACAAAUGUGGAAGGAACUAUGGCCGUCUGGACGGGAACUAAUAAGAAAGCCACGGCUAACUACGUG
rnacentral:rRNA from 1 species